rnacentral:tRNA from 1 species
GUCAGGAUGGCCGAGUGGUCUAAGGGGCCAGACUCAAGUUCUGGUCUCCAUAUGGAGGCGUGGGUUCAAAUCCCACUUCUGACA